rnacentral:rRNA from 1 species
UACAGAGGGUGCUAGCGUUGUUCGGAAUCAUUGGGCGUAAAGGGCGCGUAGGCGGUUCUGUAAGUCCCGCGUGAAAUCCCCCGGCUCAACUGGGGAACUGCGCGGGAAACUGCGGGGCUUGAGUUCGGGAGAGGGAAGCGGAAUUCCGGGUGUAGCGGUGAAAUGCGUAGAUAUCCGGAGGAACACCGGUGGCGAAGGCGGCUUCCUGGACCGACACUGACGCUGAGGCGCGAAAGCUAGGGGAGCAAACGGG